rnacentral:rRNA from 1 species
UUGACACAGGGAGGUAGUGCCAAGAAAUAACAAUACGGGGCUUAAUGUCUUGUAAUUGGAAUGAUGGGAAUUUAAACUUCUUCCAGAGUAUCAAUUGGAGGGCAAGUCUGGUGCCAGCAGCCGCGGUAAUUCCAGCUCCAAUAGCGUAUAUUAAAAUUGUUGCAGUUAAAAAGUUGGUAGUUGAAUUUUUGUUGCAUUACAUAUUUCUUGUUUGAGUUUGUUUUUGUGGCUUAUUUCGGUUUGAUUUUUUCUUUCCGGAUGAUUACUUUGAGAAAAUUAGAGUGCUCAAAGCAGGCUUUUGCCUUGAAUAGUUUAGCAUGGAAUAAUAAAGUAGGACUUUGGUUCUAUUUUGUUGGUUUUAGGUACCAAAGUAAUGGUAAUAGGAACAGUAGGACAGCAUG